rnacentral:rRNA from 1 species
ACACUCCUGCGGGAGGCAGCAGUGGGGAAUAUUGCACAAUGGGCGCAAGCCUGAUGCAGCCAUGCCGCGUGUAUGAAGAAGGCCUUCGGGUUGUAAAGUACUUUCAGCGGGGAGGAAGGCAAUACGGUUAAUAACCGUGUUGAUUGACGUUACCCGCAGAAGAAGCACCGGCUAACUCCGUGCCAGCAGCCGCGGUAAUACGGAGGGUGCAAGCGUUAAUCGGAAUUACUGGGCGUAAAGCGCACGCAGGCGGUCUGUCAAGUCGGAUGUGAAGUCCCCGGGCUCAACCUGGGAACUGCAUUCGAAACUGGCAGGCUUGAGUCUUGUAGAGGGGGGUAGAAUUCCAGGUGUAGCGGUGAAAUGCGUAGAGAUCUGGAGGAAUACCGGUGGCGAAGGCGGCCCCCUGGACAAAGACUGACGCUCAGGUGCGAAAGCGUGGGGAGCAAACAGGAUUAGAUACCCUAGUAGUCCCAUG